ACACCGCCAAAAGAUAAGGCUUUUUGCUUUACAUUUAUUUCGGUCAUUCCCCAGCGACACUUCUUCUUCUUCUUUUGGUGGGAGGUUUCAGAGAUCUGUUCUUGGAUUUGUGAAAGUGGAAGGAAGGUUUGAUCGAGAUUUUGAUACAUCAGGUAAUGGUGAUAGGAUUAACGACAUAAAUUGAGGAUAGGGUUUUGAUGUAUUGAAUUGAGAAAUUACAGAAGAAUAAAAGGGGAUCUUGAUUUUCGAUUUUGGUUAAGACCAUGAAGAAGAUUGAACUGUUUUUGAGUUCACGAAGUGUUGUCUAUGAAUUCUAGGGUAUGAAUCUGAUGAAUUUUUAGAAGACGGAGGAGCUUCUCAACAACCAUGUCAGCGAAACAGGGAGAAGAACUAGAAAUUAGGGUUUCUGAGUGACAUAGAAAGAGGAUGUGUGCAGCGAAAUAAUGGGGGAAAAGAUGAAAUUGAAUGUGGGUUAAGCUGAAUUCGAGCUUAGAUUUGAUUUAGGAAGAAGAAUUUGAAUGAGGAGGAGAGAUUUAGGAGAGAAGCUUGUUCUUGUUUCUGUAGUAAGCAUUACAAUGGCGAUUUGUAGUAGAAUCAUCAAGAAAUCUGCAUCUUCAAUAGCAAAUAGGAAUGGCAAGGUGAUGAUGAUGAUCUCGAUAAGAACGGUUUCGGGAAACAAAGGCACAAUCAGGAUGUUGGGUCAAAAACAAAAGAAAUGCGUAGAACGAAGAGCCAAGGUUGCGGUUUUAUGUCAGAGUAAUGUUGAUAGCAUGGAAAAACGGAAAUGAAGUACAUGUUAAAGACUGUAAACUUUUGUACUUCCCUUUUAGUUUUCUUCUGUAAAUAUACUUCCUUCACAAUUUGAUGUGUAUAGUAUAAUGUUUCUUAUUUCCCUUGUAUGUUGGAUUUAAUAAAUUGCACAAACGGGGUUUAGUUUUUCCUUUCCUGUGUAUCUGGGGCGGGUCUUUUUGUACUUUAAUGGCUUUACUUCUUUCUAGGCUUCACGUUUUGCCGUGACAUACUUCCAUUACGAUUAGAUUGAAGAUUACUUUUGUCUUCAAAUAAACUGUCAUCAAGAAUGUUAGUAUAACUGAGAAGAAGUGCGAAAAUCUUGGACUUGGAUGAGCAGAGUGCAACAAGCUUAUAACGAGUAAAAUUGAUGGAGUUAAUGUUGCUGCCAUGGUUUGAGCAGCUACAGAUGAUGGUGCAGGUGAAUGGAGAUAGGUGAACCUGAACUAUAGCCGUGGAAUUGAAUCAAGGAAGAAAGAUUAGGUCACAGGGUUGAAAUUAUGAAAACUGUUUGGUGUAUUGGGUUGGAAACUUAACAAAAAAACAGCCAUAACUCGGCCGGGUUCCGAUUCAGGCGAGUUGAUCCGACGAUCCAGUUAUAGAACUCAGAUGGACUUGGACCUAUUUACUGGGCUUGACUCAUAGGUCGUUUGAGGAUUGGAUUUUGGCCGUGAGCUAAAUUUAGAACUUGGCAACAGUAUAAGAGCAGAUACCUCUCUACGGAGAUUUUUUAUUUCAUUUUUUUGUAAACUCGGUCAUUUCGCUUUACAAAUUUAUAAGUCCAGCACAGUGCCAUUAUAAAAGAACUAAAUCGUGAGUACAAAAUUUAGUUGUGCACCAAUUUUUUCGAUGGGCCGUCCACCGUGGCAGCGGUCAACUAGUUUAUUUACGGUUGAUCAUAUUUUUGUUAAUGUACAAAUGUGAUAUUUUGGUUAACA